rnacentral:rRNA from 1 species
UACAGAGGUCUCAAGCGUUGUUCGGAUUCAUUGGGCGUAAAGGGUGUGUAGGUGGCGCCGUAAGUCGGGUGUGAAAUUUCGGAGCUUAACUCCGAAACUGCAUUCGAUACUGCGGUGCUUGAGGACUGGAGAGGAGACUGGAAUUCAUGGUGUAGCAGUGAAAUGCGUAGAGAUCAUGAGGAAGACCAGUGGCGAAGGCGGGUCUCUGGACAGUUCCUGACACUGAGACACGAAAGCUAGGGUAGCAAACGGG